UACGUAGGGGGCGAGCGUUGUCCGGAAUUAUUGGGCGUAAAGAGCGUGUAGGCGGUUCGGUAAGUCUGCCGUGAAAACCUGGGGCUCAACCCCGGGCGUGCGGUGGAUACUGCCGGGCUAGAGGGUGGUAGAGGCGAGUGGAAUUCCCGGUGUAGCAGUGAAAUGCGCAGAUAUCGGGAGGAACACCAGUAGCGAAGGCGGCUCGCUGGGCCAUUCCUGACGCUGAGACGCGAAAGCUAGGGGAGCGAACAGG
rnacentral:rRNA from 1 species